rnacentral:rRNA from 1 species
AUUGAACGCUGGCGGCAUGCCUUACACAUGCAAGUCGAACGGCAGCACGGGAGCAAUCCUGGUGGCGAGUGGCGAACGGGUGAGUAAUAUAUCGGAACGUGCCCAGUCGUGGGGGAUAACGUAGCGAAAGCUACGCUAAUACCGCAUACGAUCUAUGGAUGAAAGCGGGGGAUCGCAAGAACUCGCGCGAUUGGAGCGGCCGAUAUCAGAUUAGGUAGUUGGUGGGGUAUAGGCUCACCAAGCCGACGAUCUGUAGCUGGUCUGAGAGGACGACCAGCCACACUGGGACUGAGACACGGCCCAGACUCCUACGGGAGGCAGCAGUGGGGAAUUUUGGACAAUGGGCGCAAGCCUGAUCCAGCAAUGCCGCGUGCAGGAUGAAGGCCUUCGGGUUGUAAACUGCUUUUGUACGGAGCGAAAAGGCUUCCACUAAUACUGGGGGCUCAUGACGGUACCGUAAGAAUAAGCACCGGCUAACUACGUGCCAGCAGCCGCCGUAAUAC